UUCCGCUCCACGGUGACCUCCGUGUGGUCGGUGCGGGCGGAGUCUUCCUCGAUCCCGUGGUGCUCCGCGGCGCGGCCUUGCUCUCUUCCGGUCGCGGGACACCGGGCGUAGAGGGCGGUCGCGGCGGGCAGUGGCGGCAGAAUGUUGGCUACCAGGGUAUUUAGCCUAGUUGGCAAGCGAGCAAUUUCCACCUCUGUGUGUGUACGAGCACAUGAAAGUGUUGUGAAGAGCGAAGACUUUUCGCUCUCAGCUUAUGUGGAUCGGCGUGACCACCCCUUGCCGGAGGUGGCCCAUGUCAAGCACCUGUCUGCCAGCCAGAAGGCCUUGAAGGAGAAGGAGAAGGCCUCCUGGAGCAGCCUCUCCAUGGAUGAGAAAGUCGAGUGUGGGUAUUGAAGGGACCCACAGGCGCGCCCAGCAGCUCUUGGAAGUCUCUGUGUUUCCUCCUUCACAAGUGUGGUUUUGGGGAGAAGUGGUUGAAUGUUGCAGAGGAGGGAGCUGCUGACCUUUGUACCUGUAAAUGGCUGUCCUCUCUGCCCCCAGUGUAUCGCAU
rnacentral:sRNA from 1 species